GGAGAACCACAUUUGAAUGCAAUCAUUUAUUCCUGGGGUCCCUGCAAGUGCUUCCAGCCUGCAGGUUGGAGCUGCAGAGAGGUCACCCCCUUUAUUAAAUCAGCUCUGUGGGUCCCAAAACAAGGGAAAGUCCUCAUUGGCUUCAGUGGAGCUGGGGUUUGCAGCAAAAGGGAAAUCAAAGUGAGUGAGGUAUCCUGAGCUCAAGAGGAGAAAAAAGAAGAAAGGAACAGCAAUGUUGGAGCAGAGCUGCUGUGUGAAGCUUUACCAGCCCAGACACUGAGAGUGAACAAUGGAACAGCAGAAUUUGGCAGCCAGGGCGCUGUGCAGGGGAACCGAGUCCUGCCUGAGCAGGAAAUCAUCUGCCACAGCAAAUAUUUGUCACUCUCUGUGUCAGUCACCUGCUCUGACUGAAGGAACAGAGCAAUCAGGUCCAGCACAAUUGUGCAAACAGGGGAUUCUCCAUUAUCGUUUCACAAACAAGCACACAGAAAUCCUCAUUUCCUCCCUUCUUUGUUUUUGCUGCAUGGACACAAACCCAUCUGUGCUGUGUUGUCACUUUGGAUUUGCAGGGUGCUGGGGCUGGCUGAUGUGAGUGGCAGUGGAAGGGGCAGGGGCAGCCCAGGCUGGGCUGCAAUGGAAUCAUUCUGCUGAAAAAGACUUUUCCAAAGCCCUGGGGCUGCUGCUGGAGAUGGGGUUUGUGUGGAGAGGGGAUGGCAUGGGCAUGAUUGGAAAGGACAGAUCCUUUGUUAGAGGUUACUGAUCCACUGGAAAAGAGAGAUGAGUUGGGAAAAAAGGGCCUGGAAGGGCUGAAUGCACUGCAGCCCCUCACACCCACUGUUCUUUUCAGCUGUCCUUUGAAUUUGAUGUUUGUGUUUCCCCUUGGCUCUCGUGGGGUGAAAUGUGGAGUUUUGAGUAAAUCUCCAGGGACAGGCACUGCUGGGAGUGCCCAGGUUGGUGUCAGGGGAGCUCCUGCAGAUGUGGGGAUGCUCAGCCAGAUGUGCAGGCUGGGGGAGCACACAGAGACUCCCUGCACACACACAUUGGGUAAACAUUUCCAGUUACACUGACAUGUACACAAAGCUGAUUAUUUUUCCUUAAUUGGCGAGGCAGGAACAGGGGUUCUUCUCCUACUGAGAAAACUGUCCAGCUGCGGGCCACUCAAAAAAACCAAACAAACAACAAUUGAGGGGCUGGAGAGUGUGCAGGGAAGGGAAAGGGGCUGGGGAAGGGGCUGGGAGAGGCAAAGUAAUCCUGCCCUAUUCCUGUUCUAUCUGUAUCUGCAAUCCUGCCCUAUUCCUGUUCCAUCUGGGUUUGUAAUCCUGCCCCAUUGCUGUUCCAUCUGUAUCUGCAAUCCUGCCCUAUUCCUGUUCCAUCUGUAUCUGCAAUCCUGCCCCAUUCCUGCUCCAUCCAGAUCUGCAAUCCUGCCCCAUUCCUGCCCCAUCCAGGGGUGGAUCUGCAAUCCUGCCCCAUUCCUGCCCCAUCCAGGAGGGAUCUGCAAUCCUGCCCCAUUCCUGCCCCAUCCAGAUCUGCAAUCCUGCCCCAUUCCUGCCCCAUCCAGCAGCACAGCUCUGCCCUGCUCUCCCCUGAGCCAGCCCCUGCCGCAAGCCAUGCUCUGUGAGCACAGGGCUGGGAGGGAGCAGCAUUCCCAUUCCAGAAUUCCCAUUCCCAAAGACAGAAUCCCCAUGGGCUGAGUGUGCUGGGAGCCCUGGUGGGCAGGGCCUGGCCAGAUCUGCUCUGGGAGGUUUGGAAAUGUGGAUUUCUGUGCCUGCAGCACUGCACAGGACUUUCCCCCUCGUGAAUAAAUAAAUAAUAAACAGCAGAAGCAUAUGGGGGAACUCACAGCACUUCUCCCGCGUGAAGCUUGGGGAAAAAAAAUUAAAAUAUCAGAAGAUAAAGAUGGCAAGGGACCCCUGCAGGGAAAACCUCUUUGUCUAAUGACCUUUCUGGGUCUAUGAUAGCAAAUACAAUGGCCAGAGCUCAUAAAUCAUAGUUCAGGAAAACAUCCUGAGGGCACGCUUUGACACUGUUUGCAUAUUCAAAUGUUACCCCGCUCAUGAAAGAGAGACAAAAUGGUUUUUUCUCUCAAAAAUGUCAGCACGGGCUGGAUUAGAAAAGAUAAUUCAGAAGUACUCCCAGAGAAUAAUUACCACUGUCACCUACCUGCAAUGUAGUUAAUGAAUGGGAAGAGAGUGUUUUAUUAGAAAAAAAAAUUAUGAUUAUUAGAGUAAUUAAUCAGCUGC